UGAAAGUGAGGUCAUCAUUCGUUUCAGGAAGUUGAGUGAGGCCUGAGACAGCAAUGUUUCGUUUAGCCUGGCGGUGGCCCUCCUUGUCUUCAAGAAGAGCAUCCGUGGCUAGCAGUGGAAGAUGGGGUUGGGCCCCAGGACUGACCAGGCAGUUCUGCCACCUUCUAGGAGUGUGAAAUUGGGAAGUAAUUCAAAAUGUAUGUGCCUAGCAUUCCUUUUAUGUAACAUGAGGGGAAUAGAAGUACCAAACCGAUGCAGUUCAGUGGAGAAUUAAAUGAGAUAGUCACAAGUAAAAGGUGGUAAGUGUGGUUCAUUUUAUUAAUUUUCUUUUAAUUUCCCGAGAAGCCCCAGUUACCUGAAAGCUUCUGUGAGCCUGGGAAGGGAUCAGAGUUCCACCUGCAGUGCUAUUUUGCCCCUUCUUUCUGAUCCUUACAGGAAGCAGGACGAUUCCUGGAUUCCCUUUUUAAAAAAAUGGUCACAGGAAUGAGGAAAGAAUGACUCUGGCUCCUAGCAGCAGAAUCUUAACUGAGUAUGACUUAGCAUCCUUCUUCUUGCUGUGUCAUCUCUCUUCUCAGGGCAGAAGAUAUUUACUAAUUAGCACAUUCUGCUAGCACAUCUGUGGGAAAAGGUAGGAAGGAAGGAGGGAGGGUGGGAAGGAGGAAAGAAGAUCCACUCCUUAUACUGGAAAAAAAGGAGCAAUAUACUUUUCCUCAAAAUGAGAAGUCAAGCCCAAAAGAAUUCUGUACAGACCACCUUAAAAUAACAUCUUUCAAGCCUGUCUGCAUGAUUUAGUUGCUUCUUUUUUAAAAAAAAUUUAAUUUAUUUUUAUUUUGUAGAGACGCGAUCUUACUGCAUUGACCAGGAUGGUCUCAAACUCCUGGCUACAGGCUAUCCUCCUGCCUCUGUCUCCCAAAGCGCUGGGAUUACAAGCGUGAGCCACCAGGCCUGGCCCAAUUGCUUCUUAACAACUUACUAUUCUUUGUUCACUACAGUGUAUACAUAACUGACUUUUUAUUUGGAUCUUCAUUUUGUAAUGAAGGCUCUGGUCACAUGUAAGACUUGUAUUAAAUAAAUUUGCCUGCUGUUCUGUUAAUCUGUGUUAUGCUAAUUUAAUUCUUGAGCCCAGCUGGGUCCUGGAGAGGAUAGAGUGAAAUUUUGUGGCAGCUACGUAAGUCAAUGAAAUUGGAAACAGAAAAACAAUCUUUAAAAAUCAAUAAAAUCAUAAACUUAUUCUUUGAGAAGAUCAAUAUAGUUUAUAAACCUUUCAACUGACUCACCCACAGGGAAAAAGAAGAAAACAAAAAUCAGGAGGGAGGGAAUGUUAUUACAAAUUUUGCGGAUAUUAAAAGGAUUAUAAGGGAACAUUACAAACAACUCCUUGUCCAUAAAUUGAUCAAUUUACAUGACAUGGAAUAUUACUUGAAAGGCACAAACUACCAAAGCUCACUCAGGAAGAAUGGAUAACCUAGAUACUUGCGUGUAUGUAUGUGUGUGCAUACAUACAAUUUUUACACACACACACACACACACACAUAUAUAUAUAUAUAUGCACAGUUAAUUUUUUCUAUCUUUUGUAGAGAUGGGUUUUUACCAUGUUGCCUGGGCUGGUCUUGAACUCCUGGGCUCAAGCGCUCUGCCCACCUUGGCCUCCCAAAGUGCUGGGAUUACAGGCUUGAAACACUGCACCUGCCUGGCCUGAUAUAUAUUUCAAAACUGAUUUAAUAGAUAAAGCCUUCCAACAACAACAAUAAAAAAAACAAUAUUGAGAUGAAUUCAUUGGUGGAUUCUACUAAACAUUUAAAGAGUAAAGAUGUGAAUUUUAAAUAAACCCAGAAACAAAAAGAGAAGGGAACACCCA
rnacentral:lncRNA from 1 species